rnacentral:rRNA from 1 species
AUUGAACGCUGGCGGCAGGCCUAACACAUGCAAGUCGAGCGGUAACAGUCCUUCGGGAGCUGACGAGCGGCGGACGGGUGAGUAACGCGUAGGAAUCUACCCAGUAGAGGGGGAGUAGCCCGGGGAAACGUCGGAUUAAUACCGCAUAAACUCUAUGGAGCAAAGGGGGCUUCGGCUCUCGCUACUGGAUGAGCCUGCGUGGGAUUAGCUAGUUGGUGAGGUAAUGGCUCACCAAGGCGACGAUCUCUAACUGGUCUGAGAGGAUGAUCAGUCACACUGGAACUGAGACACGGUCCAGACUCCUACGGGAGGCAGCAGUGGGGAAUAUUGCACAAUGGGCGAAAGCCUGAUGCAGCCAUGCCGCGUGUGUGAAGAAGGCCUUAGGGUUGUAAAGCACUUUCAGUAGGGAGGAAGGCCAAGUAGUUAAUACCUGCUUGGAUUGACGUUACCUACAGAAGAAGCACCGGCUAACUCCGUGCCAGCA